GGCUUUCUGAAUCCGUGCCAAUAUUUUGUCAGAAAUCAAUCCACCAGGGCUAAUGAGAUUUACGAGAUUAGUGAAUUG
rfam:Schistosoma rodhaini strain Burundi genome assembly, scaffold: SROB_scaffold0008700